ensembl:lncRNA
AUGAAGAUUUCACCAGUGACCUCUGACCGGCUUAUUAUGAAGCAGAAGAUUUCCCAUGAUGCACUUCACAGCAGGUCUGCGGUAGAUGAAGAAGCUCCACAGACUGCAAUGAGAGAAAUGGUCGUAAACGGCUUGGAGGGGAAGAAGAAUUGGCCAAGAAUCAGAGAGAAGAUUCAACCUAGAGCUGAGGUCAAGCCACACACACACAAACACACACACACGCGCGCACAGAUGCACACACACACACACACACACACACACAUAUACACAGAUACGCACACACACACACACACACACACACACAUAUACACAGACACGCACACACACACACACACACACACACACAUAUACACAGACACACACACACACACACACACACACACACACACACACACACACACAGAUGCACACACAGACACACACACACAGAUGCACACACACAUAGAUGCACACACACACACGGUUUAAAUGUCAACAACUGCAUUCCUAAUUGAGAUGAACUUGGACCUGAAGUUAAAUGUUCUUUUAAACAAACAACAAACAACAACAGCAGCAACUAAAUGUCAGAAGAAACAGAGGAAGAGAAAAGAGAGGAUGAGAGUUUAUGAGAUGCAGGAACGUCAGGUUUCUCUCACCUACAAUGCAGUGUGUGCAAAAAAAAAAAGCACAAAGUCGCUUAAAUAUCAUUUAAAUCUCAAAAUGCAUAUAUAUUUAAAAUGUUUCAUCAGACAGUUCUUUGCACGAGUUUAAGCGGAAUGAUUCUCACCUGUAGAUGAUUUGCUCAGGAUAGAUCUCCUGUCUGCACCUCAGCCGCCUGCACUUACAUCAUCAUCAGGAUCAAUGAUAUAAAGACAGUUUAGAUACACAACAAUAGACAGAGAGAGAAACAGUGAGACGCAGCGGGAGGAAUCACUUAACAUUCCCACAUCAACUGUUUCCUGUUCACAACAUUUCUACUUCCCCCUCCUUUAUUUACAGUACAGCUUCAAUUCCCAAGCUCCACUGUUUACCUCCAAUAAUAACAUGGAACUAUUAAUCACAAUCUCUCGCUUUUUAUGGCAUUUUCCUGUAAACUUGAGCCCUGCGAGAACAAACAAAACACUUUCGGUUACCAUAGAGUCAGUCAGGGUUUGAAGUCUCUCAGCAUUUGUUGAAACUGUAAAAAAAUGUUAAAAGAGAGAUGAGGUUGAUGUGAUGCCAGAGACCAAACCGCACCCAAAAAACAAAAUAAAACACGGCCCCACAGCA